GACGAACGCUGGCGGCGUGCUUAACACAUGCAAGUCGAACGAAGUGGCGAACGGGUGAGUAACGCGUAAUCAACCUGCCCUUCAGAGGGGGACAACAGUUGGAAACGACUGCUAAUACCGCAUACUUAAGGAGGGGAUUUCGUCGGAUUAGGUAGUUGGAGGGGUAACGGCCCCAAAAGGCGAUGAUCAGUAGCCGGUCUGAGAGAAUGAACGGCCACAUUGGGACUGAGAAACGGCCCAGACUCCUACGGGAGGCAGCAGGGGGGGAUCUGCCGAAAUGGACGAAAGGCUGACGGAGCAACGCCGCGGGAGUGAUGACGGCCUUCGGGUUGUAAAGGUCUGUUAAUCGGGACGCGGUACCGGAAUAGAAAGCCACGGCUAACUACGUGCCAGCAGCCGCGGUAAUAC
rnacentral:rRNA from 1 species